GACGAACGCUGGCGGCGUGCCUAAUACAUGCAAGUCGAACAGUGGCGAACGGGUGAGUAACACGUGAGUAACCUGCCCUCCACUUUGGGAUAACUCCGCGAAAUCGGGGCUAAUACUGGAUAGUGGGGGAUGGGCUCGCGGCCUAUCAGGUUGUUGGUGAGGUAGUGGUCACCAAGGCGUGACGGGUAGCCGGCCUGAGAGGGCGACCGGCCACACGGGGACUGAGAGACGGCCCAGGCUGGGCCGGGGCGCAGCGGUGGUGAAUAUGGCACAAUGGGCGAAAGCCUGAUGCAGCGAGGGCGCGUGGGGGAUGACGGCCUUCGGGUUGUAAACCUCUUUCAGCAAGGAAGCGGUACUUGCAGAAGAAGCGCCGGCUAACUACGUGCCAGCAGCCGCGGUAAUUC
rnacentral:rRNA from 1 species